GAUGAACGCUAGCUACAGGCUUAACACAUGCAAGUCGAGGGGAAACGACAUCGAAAGCUUGCUUUUGAUGGGCGUCGACCGGCGCACGGGUGAGUAACGCGUAUCCAACCUGCCCAUCACUUGGGAAUAACCUUGCGAAAGUAAGACUAAUACCCAAUGACAUCCCACGAAGACAUCUGAAUGGGAUUAAAGAUUUAUCGGUGAUGGAUGGGGAUGCGUCUGAUUAGCUUGUUGGCGGGGUAACGGCCCACCAAGGCAACGAUCAGUAGGGGUUCUGAGAGGAAGGUCCCCUACAUUGGAACUGAGACACGGUCCAAACUCCUACGGGAGGCAGCAGUGAGGAAUAUUGGUCAAUGGGCGAGAGCCUGAACCAGCCAAGUAGCGUGCAGGAUGACGGCCCUAUGGGUUGUAAACUGCUUUUAUAGGGGAAUAAAGUGGGUCUCGUGAGACUUUUUGCAUGUACCUUAUGAAUAAGGACCGGCUAAUUCCGUG
rnacentral:rRNA from 1 species